UAAAUAUAUGAAAUGGUAAGAUCACAUGUAAGAGUCUCGAAUUCAUAAACAAAUCAUGUGGAUAAAAGUAAAAUGUAUAUGUAUUUGAAUGUCUACUGUUAAGAGUCUUUGUUCAAAAUUAAUAGAUGAAAUCGUGUUUCUUUCACCAUGAAACGUGCGUGUUUAUAUCAGCUACAUGUUGUAUUUCAAUUCAAGUGAAUUUAAUGCAGCAUCGCUUAAAUAAAAUCUACUUGGACCGCUAGCACUUUGAUUAAAGGCAUAGAGAUGGCGCAAUCAGACACAACAAACGAGGGAUUUCUGUCAUAUUUACACUUAAAAGUUGUGCGCAAAAUCUUAAGACGUUUGUUGGAACAUGCUGUUGCGAGGGAAAAUCCUAAGUGGACAAUAGAUCACUUUUUAUAUCACCACAUUCGUAGAAUUAUCGAAGAGGUAAUUGGUCGCGAAAAUGUGCAGCACUUGUUUCCUCGCUUACUUGAAAACGCCGACGUUGACAAUUGGACAUUGUUCCUUUUUCCUUUUCUAAUACUUCACAUAACUGAUUAUGAAUCGCUUUCUGAGGACAUUACGGAUAUUGUUCGCCAGUUGAAUCAAAGCAGAACGGAACUUUACUGCCGAAUAGUCGUAGGUGUAAGUGACGAAUACGUUCACGAGCACGUAAGAAAUCUCAAACAAGCAAUUCAGCAAAUUUGUGAGGGUAUACACGACGCUCCAUUAUGUGAAGAAGCAGAAGGACAAAUAAGGAAUGCUCGUGAACAAGUGCGCAUUACAUGUGGAAUUGAUUAUUUGCAAGUGUUUAAAGUGUGUCAAGAAACUGAAAAUAUCUAUCGACCGAGAAUUACUGAAUUUACUCCAGAUCAAGAACGACUACAUGAAUGCAUCCAACAGAACAUACUGAGUGCCCAACAGAAAACAGAACCAGGUGUGCUACCAUGUGUUUGAAUUAACAAAUUAAAAAAUGUGUGCCUUGCAUUACUAGUGUGUGUUAAAUUACUGUGUUCGUCUUGUGCGCUUCAAGAAUUAGGAGUUUUAAUCUAUGAAACAAUAUAGACGAUUAUAACAUAUACUUCCAGACAUAUCCUUAGUAAAACUUCAAUACUACAACUGAACAGGUAUGAAUAACGUGCGCAAUAAUUGGUUUCCUUGUUUCCAAACCAAUACUUAAAGUAUUUUGACGAAGGCGAGCGAAACAUUCAUACUUAAUUUGCUUUGUAAUACCAAGUGACCUUGUCAAAUCAUCCCUGUACAAAAAAAAUCAUCUACAAACCAUAUUUGUGAUUUAAUUGUCUGUUAGCGCAACAUGAAGAAGCAAAUAGACGCAUUAUCAACAUAAAAUAUUAUCGUCACUUGGAUAAUCUUGAAGCAGGUUGAACUAUCACUGAUUUGUUUAAUGCAUUUACAUUUCUAAACUGAACUGAACUUAAACUAAAUUAAAAGUAUCUCAUGUUUA